CAAUCCUCAUCAACUGCCCAGGAAAACGACUGUGACAGGUGCUAAUUGGUGAUUAUAGGAAAGAAUACCUUUGGACUGGAAGAAGUGCUCCAGGUACCAACUCGUCGUAAUGACAGCUCUCCCCUGGGAGGGAGAUGCUCUUUGGGUAUUUGUGGUCAGCUGGUGGAUUGAUCAGUGACUGGCUAGUCUGGGAUGGCCUCGAGGUCUAGCAGUUGUCUGGAACAAUGGGUCACAGGGCAACACAUCUAUCAAGUUACAGCAGAUUUCCUUAGGCUUCUUUACAUGGCGGUGGCUAAGGAGGACAAACAGCACUGGGAAAUUAUCCUUCAAGUCCCUGCUUUUAUCAUAAUGACUGAUGCUCCAUUGGCUCAUGUGGCCAACCUAUAUUCAAAAGGAAAAAACACAUACCUUGUCUUGGAGAAACUGUACGGGCUGAGAGAUUCAAGGAAACUGAAGGACGCAAGGACUCUUCUUUUAACUCUGCAUCCCAAAUAAAAAAGGCUUAAAUAAGAGGUUUUAUUUAGAAGAAG